AACGAACGCUGGCGGCAGGCCUAACACAUGCAAGUCGAGCGCCCCGCAAGGGGAGCGGCGGACGGGUGAGUAACGCGUGGGAACGUGCCCUUUGCUACGGAAUAGCCCCGGGAAACUGGGAGUAAUACCGCAUAAGCCCUAAGGGGGCAAGAUUUAAAGGCAAAGGAUCGGCCCGCGUUGGAUUAGGGAGUUGGUGGGGUAAUGGCCUACCAAGCCGACGAUCCAUAGCUGGUUUGAGAGGAUGAUCAGCCACACUGGGACUGAGACACGGCCCAGACUCCUACGGGAGGCAGCAGUGGGGAAUCUUAGACAAUGGGCGCAAGCCUGAUCUAGCCAUGCCGCGUGAGCGAUGAAGGCCUUAGGGUUGUAAAGCUCUUUCGUGGGGGAAGAUAAUGACUGUACCCCAAGAAGAAGCCCCGGCUAACUCCGUGCCAGCCGCCGCCGUAAUAC
rnacentral:rRNA from 1 species